rnacentral:rRNA from 1 species
UACGAAGGGUGCAAGCGUUACUCGGAAUUACUGGGCGUAAAGCGUGCGUAGGCGGUUCUCCAAGUCCGUUGUGAAAGCCCCGGGCUCAACCUGGGAAUGGCAGUGGAAACUAGGGGACUGGAAUCUGGCAGAGGGGGUGGAAUGCCGCGUGUAGCAGUGAAAUGCGUAGAGAUGCGGCGGAACACCGAUGGCGAAGGCAGGUCUCUGGGCCGAUACUGACGCUGAGGAGCGAAAGCGUGGGGAGCGAACAGG